GUUAAACAUGCUAUAUGAAUUGUUAUGUGUUUGAAUAGACAAGUACGCACUCUCUACAAGAUGCCCUUGUCUGUUCAUAUAAUAUAAGGCUUGUGUGUGUCUUAUCUUCAAGGACAAUUACAUACCAGAUCAAAACUGUUACUUCUGUGUGUUACUAAUUAUCCUGCAUGUAAUGUCGUAUGCUACUUCUAUUUAUCCAAUCAUAUGCUUGCACAUAUUGUAUACACCCAUGUACGUUGUCUUUAUAAACCUUUGUUAACCAUAUAAUAAAGCAGAGUGAAUCUUAACUACUUGGUGUCGUGUGUUACGUAUAGAGUUAAGCUUCGCUCUCACGGGUACCUAAGGGGUUAUUAAAUCGAGGUGGUUCAGAGAUAUAAUCCCUUCAGCUGGGGGCUCAAAGUCCGGGAUCUAGGCGAUCGUCCCCUGCCCGGAACCGACACAUCCUUUUCAGGUCGGAGACAAAGUCGUUGUGAAAGUGCUCCCGAGGAAUAAAGGUCCAGGAGAUUUCACCUAUGGUCCAGAGACGGAAGUCGUGGCAGUGACCAGGACGGCUGUCCUCACUGAAGAGGGGCCCACGUGGAUACAUGCAUCCCGAGUAAAGAAGAUACCCAGCCCAAACCGCGAAGCAAGUCCAGGAGAGGUACUAACGGGGGCAGACAGCCCUGACCUCCAACGAGGAGAGGUACUAACGGGGGCAGACAGCCCUGACCUCCAACCAAGAUGACCUCACACAUGGAGAAGAUGAUUGUGAACCACGGACCCCGCUGGGCAUGUGUUAUCCUAACCCUCAUCACAGUCCUAACAUUUCCCUGUAGAACUGAGGUUGAUAUCUCACAAAAGGAAGGGGUGACCACCUUAUGGUAUAACUCCUCCAACACACACGUAGCCACCUAUGUCUUAGAUUACUUUAUGUUCUCCAAGCUUGCUGAAGCAAAACACUCUAUACACAAAAAAAGAAAAUCAGGAAUAUCUGAGACAGUUUAUAUUUGUGUUACUGAUUCAUGGUGGGGAUACAACUGUGAUUCCUGGGAAUCUGUGGGGUGGAACACAGGAAUUGACUGGGGGUACAGACCAUCAGACGCUUUAAAUAGAUGGAGCCAACCUGAUGGAAUACCUCUACUCUCUAGAAUGUCUAUCUUUAAGAUGGACGAGGGCCUAAGUGCAUAUAGGUUCAGAUUAAACAUAGAACGCCCCAGCAGAGCAGAUAAUGGUACCUAUGUAGUUGGAAUAUGGUGGGGAACAGGGUACUAUAGCGAAAGGCAAAGCUUUCAUUUAUGGGACAUGUUUAAAAAUCCAGCGUAUCAGUCUAAGGCUAUCCCCCAAGGCAAACCCCUAAGGCCUCAUAUAGCUACCUUCAAGGAUAUGAUAGCCAUUAACAAUCCCACCCUUGAAGACACCCUAGCUAUUGAAACUGGUUUCUCUGACAUCAAUUUCUGGUUAGAAUGGAUGAAAUAUAGUGCCAAUAAACAUAAUAAAAGUAACUGCUAUGUUUGUGGCAGAUCUAGGCCUCACCUAGGCACCGUGCCCCUUAAUAUACCCCUAGAACAAGAAAGUUGUUUUUUCAGCCUUUACAACGGCACCAAAAUCAAUGACAGCCAAUGUGAAAUGUGGAAAAAGGAAUACCCCAUACUCUCAAAAAACCCCAACCUUGGUAACACAAUAACCAUAUACCCAGGUAACUGCACCUGCUACAACUCCACUAGCCACUCUGGCAAGGAUUUUAAAAAUUUUCCUCCUGGAUACUGCUCAGAAACACGUAACACCAUCCUAGUUAAUCAAACCAAGUCCCUAGGGGACAUUUAUUAUAUCUGUGGAGAUUUAAAACUCAGAACUAGAUUAAAUAUCCCAUGGAAAGGUCAAUGUGCCUUAGCCAAAAUAAUUAUGCCAUUACACAUACUCCCAACUAAUGAAGGUUCCCCUACCUCAAACACUGCUCCCACACAUAGAAGAAAAAGGGAAACUCCAAUAGGUAGCUUCGAUCCACAUGUUUAUAUUGACACAAUUGGGGUCCCAAGAGGGGUGCCAGACGAAUUCAAAGCUAGAGAUGAAGAAGCUGCAGGAAUUGAAUCCUUAAUUCCUAUAAUAACUGCCAAUAAAAAUGUUGCAUGGAUCAAUUAUAUCUACUAUAACCAACAGAGAUUCAUUAAUGAUACCAAAGUUGCACUCAAAGGUAUAGCUGAACAAUUAGAAGCCACCUCUCAAAUGACAUUCCAAAACCGUAUGGCCUUAGACAUGAUACUGGCUGAAAAGGGUGGAGUUUGUGUCUACAUAAAACAGGUAGAAGGAUGUUGUACCUUUAUCCCUGACAACACAGGGCCAAAUGGUAAAGUUACCCUAGCCAUAAAAAAACUAGAUGAUUUAUCCAUAGAGCUAAAAAAGAAUUCAGGUAUUGAUAACCCAUGGAGCCAAUACUUUGGUUGGUUUGAAAAUUGGAAACAGGGUCUUGUUCAACUAGGAAUCUACAUAUUGAUUGUGAUAGUAAUUUUUUGUGUUGUUUUCUUUUGCAUUAUACCCUGCUGCAGAAAACUCGCCACAAAAGGUAUUGAAAACUCGCUUAUGUAUGAAGCCGUCCUUACAAUCCCUCCUAACUCCCCUGCAGCCUAUAAGCAAUACCUAACUGAAUAUAGAAAUAAAAAGCUCCAUGUACAGAAUCAUGUUAUUUAAAUAUAUGAUUCUAAGAGGGGAUUGAAGGGUUAAACAUGCUAUAUGAAUUGUUAUGUGUUUGAAUAGACAAGUACGCACUCUCUACAAGAUGCCCUUGUCUGUUCAUAUAAUAUAAGGCUUGUGUGUGUCUUAUCUUCAAGGACAAUUACAUACCAGAUCAAAACUGUUACUUCUGUGUGUUACUAAUUAUCCUGCAUGUAAUGUCGUAUGCUACUUCUAUUUAUCCAAUCAUAUGCUUGCACAUAUUGUAUACACCCAUGUACGUUGUCUUUAUAAACCUUUGUUAACCAUAUAAUAAAGCAGAGUGAAUCUUAA